AUCUCAGGGGAGAUAAUCCUUACUUGUUCUUCCUUAUGGAGGGCAGAUUAGAAAAUAAUAAUUAGAGCUCACAUGAUACAUGAUUACACAAGUACAUCUUUGUGAAAUCAGGACUUGCAACGCCCUGAUUGCUCCUAUCUGAU